rnacentral:rRNA from 1 species
AAUGAACGUUGGCGGCGUGGAUCAGACAUGCAAGUCGGACGAAUCUCACUUGGGUAACUGAGUGGGGGAAGUGGCGAAAGGGGCAGUAAUGUUUGGGUACCUACCUUGGGGUCUGGGAUAGCCUUCCUAACGGAAGGGUAAAACCGGGCGAUUUGGGAAACCAAGAAAGGCAACGCCUCAUGAGGGGCCCAAAUGGUAUUAGCUAAUUGGUGAGGUAACGGCUCACCAAGGCGAUGAUGCCUAGCGGGUGUGAGAGCACGACCCGCGCCAUUGGCACUGUGACACUGGCCAGACUCCUACGGGAGGCUGCAGUCGAGGAUCUUCGGCAAUGGGCGAAAGCCUGACCGAGCGACGCCGCGUGUGCGAUGAAGGCCUUUUGGUUGUAAAGCACUGUCGAAGGGGAGCAAGCCGCAAGGUUGAGAGUACCCUUGGAGGAAGCACGGGCUAAGUUCGUGCCAGCAGCCGCGGUAAGACGAACCGUGCGAACGUUAUUCGGAAUCACUGGGCUUAAAGGGUGCGUAGGCGGGUGGACAAGUCGAGGGUGAAAGCCUCUAGCUUAACUAGAGAAGUGCCCUCGAUACUGUUUGUCUUGAGAGAGAUAGGGGCACACGGAACUUCCGGUGGAGCGGUGAAAUGCGUAGAUAUCGGAAGGAACGCCGGUGGCGAAAGCGGUGUGCUGGAUCUUUUCUGACGCUGAGGCACGAAAGCUAGGGUAGCGAACGGGAUUAGAUACCCCGGUAGUCCUAGCCCUAAACGAUGAGUACUAGAUUGUGGACUGACAUGGGUUCACAGUCGAAGCAAAAGUAUUAAGUACUACGCCUGGGGAGUAUGGUCGCAAGGCUGAAACCCAAAGGAAUUGACGGGGGCUCACACAAGCGGUGGAGCAUGUGGCUUAAUUCGAGGCUACGCGAAGAACCUUACCUAGGCUUGACAUGGUAGAAGUAAUUCUGUGGAAACAUGGGAUGGCCGGUAUCCAAUCCGGAAGCUAUCACAGGUGCUGCAUGGCUGUCGUCAGCUCGUGUCGUGAGAUGUCGGGUUAAGU